AUUGAACGCUGGCGGCAGGCCUAACACAUGCAAGUCGAGCGGAUGAAGGGAGCUUGCUCCUGGAUUCAGCGGCGGACGGGUGAGUAAUGCCUAGGAAUCUGCCUGGUAGUGGGGGAUAACGUCCGGAAACGGGCGCUAAUACCGCAUACGUCCUGAGGUAGAAAGUGGGGGAUCUUCGGACCUCACGCUAUCAGAUGAGCCUAGGUCGGAUUAGCUAGUUGGUGGGGUAAAGGCCUACCAAGGCGACGAUCCGUAACUGGUCUGAGAGGAUGAUCAGUCACACUGGAACUGAGACACGGUCAAGACUCCUAAGGGAGGCAGCAGUGGGGAAUAUUGGACAAUGGGCGAAAGCCUGAUCCCGCCAUGCCGCGUGUGUGAAGAAGGUCUUCGGAUUGUAAGGCACUUUAAGUUGGGAGGAAGGGCAGUAAGUUAAUACCUUGCUGUUUUGACGUUACCAACAGCAUCAGCACCGGCUAACUUCGUG
rnacentral:rRNA from 1 species